AUACGGAGGAUCCGAGCGUUAUCCGGAUUUAUUGGGUUUAAAGGGAGCGUAGGUGGGAUAUUAAGUCAGCUGUGAAAGUUUGGGGCUCAACCUUAAAAUUGCAGUUGAUACUGGUUUCCUUGAGUACGGUACAGGUGGGCGGAAUUCGUGGUGUAGCGGUGAAAUGCUUAGAUAUCACGAAGAACUCCGAUCGCGAAGGCAGCUCACCGGGCCGGAACUGACACUGAUGCUCGAAAGUGCGGGUAUCAAACAGGAUUAGAUACCCUGGUAGUCCGCACAGUAAACGAUGAAUACUCGCUGUUUGCGAUACACUGUAAGCGACCAAGCGAAAGCGUUAAGUAUUCCACCUGGGGAGUACGCCGGCAACGGUGAAACUCAAAUGAAUUGACGGGG
rnacentral:rRNA from 1 species